AGUGGCGGACGGGUGAGUAACACGUGAGCAACCUGCCUUCGAGAGGGGAAUAACGGCUGGAAACGGUCGCUAAUACCGCAUAACGUACGGAUGGGACAUCCUGUUUGUACCAAAGAUUUAUCGCUCGAAGAUGGGCUCGCGUCCGAUUAGGUAGUUGGUGAGGUAACGGCCCACCAAGCCGACGAUCGGUAGCCGGACUGAGAGGUUGAACGGCCACAUUGGGACUGAGACACGGCCCAG
rnacentral:rRNA from 1 species